AUGAACGCUGGCGGCGUGCCUAAUACCUGCAAGUCGAGCGAACGGAUGAGAAGCUUGCUUCUCUGAUGUUAGCGGCGGACGGGUGAGUAACACGUGGAUAACCUACCUAUAAGACUGGGAUAACUUCGGGAAACCGGAGCUAAUACCGGAUGAUAUUUUGAACCGCAUGGUUCAAAAGUGAAAGACGGUCUUGCUGUCACUUAUAGAUGGAUCCGCGCUGCAUUAGCUAGUUGGUAAGGUAACGGCUUACCAAGGCAACGAUGCAUAGCCGACCUGAGAGGGUGAUCGGCCACACUGGAACUGAGACACGGUCCAGACUCCUACGGGAGGCAGCAGUAGGGAAUCUUCCGCAAUGGGCGAAAGCCUGACGGAGCAACGCCGCGUGAGUGAUGAAGGUCUUCGGAUCGUAAAACUCUGUUAUUAGGGAAGAACAUAUGUGUAAGUAACUGUGCACAUCUUGACGGUACCUAAUCAGAAAGCCACGGCUAACUACGUG
rnacentral:rRNA from 1 species